rfam:Triticum aestivum genome assembly, contig: Triticum_aestivum_CS42_TGACv1_scaffold_641404_T_5BL-0.229448_6BL-0.137294
GAGGUACUCCCUCCGUCCGAAAAAGCUUGUCCCUCAAAUGGAUGUAUCUAGCACUAACUUGAUGCUAGAUACAUCCAUUUGAGGGACAAGCUUUUUCGGUCGGAGGGAGUAAUAA